UCGCUGCUCGGGUGCCUUCUCCUGUCGUUGUCCUUGACCUCGUGGAAUAGUCCCAGCCACGGAACAACUCUGCUUCUCCGCUCCCCUGUCUCUCCCUGGCCGACGGCGGCGCCGCCGCUCUCCGGCAAGAUGUUUGGGGUCUACUGCGGCAUGUAUGUAUAUUACUCCCUCCUUCAUCCUGAUGUCCUGACAUGCUUAAUCGCCCGGCAUACUUUGUGGAUUUGGAUUUGGUUGACCACGCCGCCUGCUUAUCUUUCAGAUCCAAUCCGUCUGCUUCACCAUGCCGGAGUCUAUGGAAGGCUUCCACUGAUUCUCCUCUACAGCAUGUUCUUAUUGUUUUGGUUUUCCUCGUCCGCGGGCUGCCAGUUCUGGACACUGACCCUCUAGCCAUGAUGAGGCCGGUCAAGAAGUAGCAGGCUUCUCUUAGCAUCGCCAAUGAGGAAAUCUGUCGUGCCGGGAAACUAUGCCAGGCAAAGUGUUAGAUUCCCCCUGAAUUCGAUGGGAUUCAUGUGUGAUUUGAAGCUACCAGCGGCUGGACCGGAGGUUUGGGAUGUUGGGAGCAGCAGUGAAGCGUGAGGUCGAUCCAAACAGAAUGAAUACUUUGGAAAUGUCAAUUAGGUCAUUUUAACCAAGCGGGAAUUAUCCCAAGCUUCUCUCCGGACUGCUUAGGUACAAAAUGAAAAUUAGAUACUAAGACUAGCUAGAUGUAGUUCCCCCGAUAUGUUAUAGAUUGUUCAGUGCUUACUAUGCUUGUAUUUGAUAUGGAGGUGAUUUGCAAAUUCUGGGAUAUUAGGAGCGCAUGUCAUCGGGACUCAUUUUGUUGUAGGUGUCGGCCUAAACAAAAUUGUGUUAGAGGCCGCGUUGGUGGCACAAACGAGUU